GAGUUUACUGAAGGAAGGAACAACCUACAAUAUAUCAACAUGAAAAUCGUACUCGUUCUUGCGAUGUUGUUGGCCGUAACCUUCGCCCUACCCAAUGAUGACCUGCAAGCACAUAUUAAAGCUAUAGGUGAGGCCAUCGAGAACAACCCGGAACUGGCCAAUGGAUGGUUGGGUGAUGCCUGGAACUGGCUUAAGACCAACAAGGAUGCCCUCGGAACCAUUGCUGGAGGUGUUUUGAGUCUCCGUUGAAUGAAAUCGAAAAAAUCUUUGUUUUGAAAAUAAAUUUGCUUCUGGAUAAUAA